AUGAACCUGCUACGGAUUUUCCUGUUCAUGCUGGUGGCCCCUUUAGGUGUCCUCUCCCAAGUGCAGCUGCGGGAAACGGGCCCGGGAGCGGUGAAACCCGGGGAGUCCCUGACACUCACUUGUACCAUCUCCGGAGACUCGGUUUCUAGCGACAGCGCGGCCUGGCACUGGGUCUGGCAGCCGGCGGGGAAGCGGCCGGAAUGGAUGGGACGCACAUGGUAUAGAUCCGGCCGGUGGAACACCGAGUACCCUGGCUCUGGGCAGAGCCGAGUGACCAUCACACAAGACACUGCCAAGAACCAGUUCUCCCUGCAGCUCCACACGCUGACAGCUGCAGACACCGGCACCUAUUACUGCGCCAGGCAGCCACACGCACACAGUGACACAGAGCAAAGCAGGGACUGGUACAAAAAGGGGAACCGGAUUCUGACCAACGCAGAGAGACAAUCUGAACAGAAAGAACUGCGAUCUUCCUCCCUCCCUCCCAGACUCAGGAGGAGAAAUUCGGAGGAAAUGAUCAAACUCUGA